GACGAACGCUGGCGGCGCGCUUAACACAUGCAAGUCGAGCGAAGCGGCGGACGAGUGAGUAACACGUGAGUAACCUGCCUUAGACAUUUGGAUCGCCUCGGGAAACCGGAAUUAAGACCAAAUGGUCUAAUAUGGACUCGCGUCCCAUUAGCUAGUUGGUGAGGUAACGGCCCACCAACGCGACGAUGGGUAGCCGGCCUGAGAGGGUGAACGGCGACGUUGGAACUGGGAAACAGUCCAAACUCGACUGGAGGCAGCAGGGGGUAAUAUUGCACAAUGGAGGGAACUAUGAUGCAGCGACGCCGCGUGAACGAAGAAGGCUUUCGAGUCGUAAAGUUCUUUUAUAUGAGAGGCGGUACCAUAAGAAAAAGCCACGGCUAACUACGUGCCAGCAGCCGCGGUAAUUC
rnacentral:rRNA from 1 species